rnacentral:rRNA from 1 species
AGAGUUUGAUCCUGGCUCAGGAUGAACGCUGGCGGCGUGCCUAACACAUGCAAGUCGAACGAAGCGAUUUGGAGGAAGUUUUCGGAUGGAAUCUGAAUUGACUGAGUGGCGGACGGGUGAGUAACGCGUGGGUAACCUGCCUCAUACAGGGGGAUAACAGUUAGAAAUGACUGCUAAUACCGCAUAAGCGCACGGAAUCGCAUGAUUCAGUGUGAAAAGCCGAGACGGUAUGAGAUGGACCCGCGUCUGAUUAGCUAGUUGGUGAGGUAACGGCCCACCAAGGCGACGAUCAGUAGCCGACCUGAGAGGGUGACCGCGGCUAAAUACGUGCCAGCAGCCGCGGUAAUACGUAUGGUGCAAGCGUUAUCCGG